rnacentral:lncRNA from 1 species
UCGAGUAUCCGUUACACGCACGAAACAUCACUCACAAUAAUGUCCCACGAGUCGUUAGGACAAUCAAGAAAUGGGUACUUCCCGCAGAAAAAAGCACACGUAAAUACUGUAAGUGUGGAGACAAAUCACACAUAAUAAAAAGAAGUCUUACUUCAAUGGAGCCAUGAAUCUUUUUUCGACACUGCUUUUUAUGAUUUCUCCAUGACUUGUUGCAAUAGGGGGUGGCUGAUGGAAUGAUGGAGGCCUAGUAGAGGAGCUAGACUCUUAUUUCAUCAACCGCUAAAACUUCAAAGUUUUUUUCAACACCAUUGAUUUUCAUUGGCUUCUUAGGUCCCGCAAUCCCUUCUCCUGUCAUUCAAUAAUCAAUUAAUGCUGCCUUUGAUUUCAGUCACUCUCCUGCUUUCAUUUCAUACCAUGACUCCACUAGAUAUUAAACAAUUCAUUCACACACCAAAAUAAUAUGUACCAAAUCCCCUUCCUUAGGGAACCAGCAAUGGCCAAUUCAUAAAUAUUAAUGAAUGGCAAUGCCCACCAAAAAAGUUUAUAAUAAAGUCUCCCAAACUGUUCAAACCUUUUUACAUAAUUACACCUGCUACCUUAUCUACAUCACUCUUGUCAAUUUUUUUAUUUUUUUUUAUCUCACAGUCCAUUCCAAAAAAAUAUUGGGAUUCUAGACUAGACAACUUUGAAACAAACCAUUUUCUUUUAAAAUUUUUUUUUCCUCUUAUUUUAAACCCUCAUCCUUAAUCUGAGCUUUAUUUGUCAUUAUCCAACCACAAGCUAUUGUUUAGCUUUCUCCGUUUAUAAGGUGACGAGGAUGAGAAGGAUGUGGAUGAGGAGUCGCUCCAUGCGAUACUUGCCCGAGUCAUUACUCGGAGCUGAGGUAACACUUUUGGUUGCUUCCUUGGCCUAUUAGCGAACGCGGUUUGUUGCAUUAGAUGACGACAACUGGUGAUUUUGUCCUAUAAAACGAAAAAUCAGAUUGGUUUUUACCCAAAGUGACGUGGCAAUAGCAUUUUCUGCUAAUUAUAGUGUGAAUAUCUUUCUUACUUUGUGAAGUCCAUCACACCAUGACUCAGCAUGUUGAGCGGUAACUAAAGAGAAAUGAGGGAGGUCAUUUGCUGCACAAAGUAUUGUUGCAGCAGCAAUGCAUGAUGGCCUAUACUCAAGAAAGUUGGUCUCUGUUGAAUAAAAGAAAAUGCAAUAACUAAUAUAAAACCUCCAUUUUUGAACGUCAAAAUCUAUAUAUUUAUGUUAGUUAAGUAUACAAAUAUUUUCAUUUUUUCCAAUGGAGCGUGUUUGGCCGUACUUAAAAGUAAAUUAAGUAAAUACAAUUUCUGAAAUGAGCUUUAUUUUCUUUAAGAAAAAAUAGCUUUUAAACACAAUUAAAAUCAUCGGACGGCCAAGUCCUUUAUAAUAAGCGGGAGCAAACAUGUCCUAUAAAGUUUAAUCAUAAUACCUUUGAUAUUUGACAGAAUAAUUUCAGUUGCCCUUGAUGUAAGGAAUCCCGUGUAAGUUCCUGUUGGAUCAAUUUUGUGGGCAAAAAAGCUGAGAAAGCUAAAUGGAGAAAUGGAUUGCAGCCUCCAAUCCAAUACACGUAGAACAAGAAGCUCCAUUCUUUGGAUAUUUCUUGGUUCAAAAAUAAAUUUUGCACCUUCAACCUAGUAAACAAAAAUUGCAGAAAUAAUUAGUUCCUAAUUAAAAUAAGAAUAAGCAUAAAAAAAAAAUCGAUUUAGAAAAUCACCUGAAGAUCCAGAAGAGAAGGAACCAGAGGUUCCUCCACUUUGGCAGCUAAUGACAAGCAUGCAACGGACAACAGUUGCNNNNNNNNNNNNNNNNNNNNNNNNNNNNNNNNNNNNNNNNNNNNNNNNNNNNNNNNNNNNNNNNNNNNNNNNNNNNNNNNNNNNNNNNNNNNNNNNNNNNNNNNNNNNNNNNNNNNNNNNNNNNAUUCGAACCCUUGACGCAGCAGUCUCAAGCAAAGCUGGAUUUCUCCACCCUCCCCUUUUACCACUUGGAGAUGUGCCCUGGGGGCAAAAGUAAGAUGAGAUCUUGUUGCAUAUCAAGGAAUGAAAAGGAUAACCGAAAUGGAAAGAAGAGGCGAGGAAAAAGAGAGAGAGAAAAAUAGUGAGAAAAUAUGAAGUGAAUAUUCCUAUUACUUGGAUGUAAAUAAUUUAGGGAACUACAUAAAUUUGUGUUUUCUUUCUUCAUUUUUCUUAUCUUUUGUACUGUCGCUGCGUUUCUCAAAAAUAUCUAAAAUACUACAUUGCGGACAAUGCUCGAACAAACACAUACGCUCUAUUCACAAGUAUUUGUACCGUGCAAAAAUCUUUUUUGUUGAAUCAAUUAAUACUUAUUUACAAAUGUUGUUGUCUUAACUUUUCGUAUUGUCGAUUAUCCUUUUGUGUUUUAAAUAUUAGUCCACUUGCGAAAUAUGAACAAGUUAACAAGAUUUUAUUUUAUUUUAUUUUUAUUAUUAUUUUUUGGAUUAAUCUCCAAGAUGCUCUAAAACUUCAUGGCUCCGGUUGAUUUAAGAUAACAUUGUAUUAAUUAUGGGAAAAAGGAUUCUCAUAAAGUGGAACAAUUUUAAAAAGUCUUGUCCAUAUCAAUGUCGAUUGUGUAUAUCUCGAGUUUGUCUCAAAAUUAGUAUCAAUCAUAGAAUUAAUCUUAGCAGAUAUCCUAAAACUUAUUCUCAGUUUUCAUUAUUUUGGAGUAAUUCAAUCCUCUUAUCAAUAAAUAACAUAAUCUAUGUCAAAUUUUGAUUCAUAAUUAUCCAAUAAUCCCCUAUUCGGACAAAAUAUCGCUUCAUUCUCAAGAAUUUAUUACCCCUCUUCCUCAAAUUGAGAAGGACACACGAACUAUAAAAACCCAAAUAUUCUACUACAACAAGGACCACACUAAUUUGGGACACAACAGAAUUUUCCGGCCAUCGGAAUCAUUGUGGCAGCACCUUCAUUCCACUGUAACUAGAGAUUUAUUUAGUGCAUCCAUACGAGUAAGUUUAGAAUUUAGCUAUGAUACCACUUAUAGGGACGGGCUCCACUCCAAAUGGUUAUCCUAUUAGGUCGAGUAGCCACCAAUCUACUCCAUAUCUGAUGUUUGUAAAUUUUUGUUCGUAUUUUUUUAUUUUUAAAUUUUUAUCAACAAGCAAAUUCAAUAUUGUUAUUGAAUAUGAGAUUCAUAUCAUAAAACUCAUUCAGAUACACGUAUUCAGGGUUGACACGUGGACAAAUUGACCACACCCAAAUUAAUACAAAUUUAUUUAUUUAUUAUUAUUAUUAUUAUUUUUUGGGUUCUAGAAGCUGAUAUUUAGAUAACAUUCCAAGAAGGCAAUGUAUGACUUUACUCGCAAAAAUUCUGUCACAACCUAGUUGUAUUUUCUUGAUUGUCCACCAUUAAACCAGCUUUUGAUGUUUCAAGGUACGUGAAAAUAUCUGUGGUUUGUGAGGAUACAAUUAAUCCUGAUAAUGGGAGUACUUUCUAAAUUAUAUAAUAGACCAUAUAUAUAUAAAAGUCCAAUGCGUCACGUUUUUUAAUGUAAAUCAAUUUAAAAUGUGUCGGGAUGUGAGAACAUCAACUUUAUUUCCACCGGCCUUUUUUAUUUUUGAAUUUGACAUUGUGAAAUGAAAGUUCAAAAUUUUUAAAAACACAUUGAAUGAACAAUAAUAAACACGAUUAAAGUAGAAAAAAAUUAAAAUAUUAUUCAUUAUAAUGGAAAGUCACCAAAGUUUUCAUGUUUACGUUUGAACACAAUUUCCUAUAUAUGUUUUUUUUUUUUUUUUUCAAAAAGGAUGUCAAAGGAUUUCGCCGCCUUUGAAUUCUUACCAUCUGAGUUAGGUAUUGAUCUUAAUUUUUAUGUAUAUUUAAAAACAAUUUCUUAUCAUUAGAAACCCACAGCAAUUAGGAGAAAUUUUACCCAUAAAAUGCUCCAUUACUACUUAGAUUCCCAAGUCAUCCGGGAGUUUGAGGGGAAGUAGGCAGAGGAACAAUAGAAAGAAAGAUAAAUUUCUAUUUCGUUAGGUCCCAUUCUCUUUCAUUUUUUUUCUCUCCCUUAUUUUCAAUCACGCAAUCUUCUCUUUUAACUUUUCAGGGUAAACAGGUGUACUUGUUUUAAAAAUAUUAGCCUUUGGUUGAUAAAAGAUUUUUUGAGAAAUAAUUCUUUGAAUUUUUUGUGUGAAUUGUGAAUAAAAAGUAGAACAAAAGUAAUGAAAAAUUGUGAAAAGUGAUUUUAUUUUUACAGAAUGUUUAAUCGAAAACGAAUGUAGGAGAGAAGUGAUUAUUAAAUAAUCAAAAGGAAAAUACCACCUUACUCGAAAAUGUUUAACACCCGGAAUGAUCGAACCUCACAAAGUGCACGGGUCUCACGUGAAUUAAAUAAUGCCCAAUCUCCAUGGUGUGUGUUCGAUCAUCUCUUAUAUCAACCAUUAUGUUUCCCUAUCUUGGUCCGAAUCAAAAUUGAACAAGGACUUAGUACUUACUAUGAGUAGCCGACAAGAGUAAUAAGGGUAUGGAAAUAGAUACAUACAGAAAGGUGGCUCUAAUACAUGGUCCCAUAAUUCAGAUCCAGUGUGUGGGGGUGUGGCAUACUUGUCUGAAAUCAAGGGAAGAUAAGAGAGCAAACAUGGGCCAUUCACGAGAUUGUACUGUUUAAGGAGUCAUAUUCUUGAAUCGGUCCUUUAAAUGCUUGAGGGACCAAUUCCUAGACACCCCAUUGCCUCUCAAAAUUCCCCCAUCUCCGUUUAAAAGUUUUCUCAGUAAUAUAUAAAACAAAUGGCAAAGCUACAAAAUCUCAUUGUCAAUCACAUGCAUGUAACAAACCUGUCAUUGUCAUGGGAGGUUGAGGUGAGGUGGGAAGGGGUGGGGAAUUAAGAAAAUGUAUGUAAAAUAAUAUUCCAUUUUAUUAUAACUCCAAAUACAUCACUCACAAAAAAGGCCCCAAAGACCUUUGUAUAAUUUGGCCAACUUUAGGCCAAUCGAGAAAAGGGGAAAAAAAUAAAUUAAAAGAAUACUAUCGAGUAUCCGUUACACGCACGAAACAUCACUCACAAUAAUGUCCCACGAGUCGUUAGGACAAUCAAGAAAUGGGUACUUCCCGCAGAAAAAAGCACACGUAAAUACUGUAAGUGUGGAGACAAAUCACACAUAAUAAAAAGAAGUCUUACUUCAAUGGAGCCAUGAAUCUUUUUUCGACACUGCUUUUUAUGAUUUCUCCAUGACUUGUUGCAAUAGGGGGUGGCUGAUGGAAUGAUGGAGGCCUAGUAGAGGAGCUAGACUCUUAUUUCAUCAACCGCUAAAACUUCAAAGUUUUUUUCAACACCAUUGAUUUUCAUUGGCUUCUUAGGUCCCGCAAUCCCUUCUCCUGUCAUUCAAUAAUCAAUUAAUGCUGCCUUUGAUUUCAGUCACUCUCCUGCUUUCAUUUCAUACCAUGACUCCACUAGAUAUUAAACAAUUCAUUCACACACCAAAAUAAUAUGUACCAAAUCCCCUUCCUUAGGGAACCAGCAAUGGCCAAUUCAUAAAUAUUAAUGAAUGGCAAUGCCCACCAAAAAAGUUUAUAAUAAAGUCU